UAGCAAUAGGACAAGGAGUAAUGGCCUAAAAUUUGAACAUGGGAAAUUCCAUAUGAACAUAUGGAAGAACUUCCUUUCAGUAAGGGUGACAGAGCACUGGAACAGACUGCCCAGAGAGGCUGUAGAGUCUUCUAUAGAGAUAUUUAAGACCUGUCUGGAUGCCUACCUGUGCAACCUAUUGUAGGGUACCUGCUUUAGCAGGGGAGUUGGACUCGAUGUUCUCUUAAGGUCCCUUCCAGUUCCUGUGAUUAACAGUGAUGCCCUGGGCAUGAACAAGUGAGAGAAUCAAUUGCUGGAUCUUUAUGUCCUCUGCAACUCUACCACAGCUUGUAAGAAGAAACUGAAAACAGAUAAAGAAACAAGAGAAGGGCAGGCAGAGUCAAAAAUUACCUUUUGGGAAACUUUCGUAGUGCUUUCAGCACCACCAAGAGAAAUUGCAAUUGCAAGGAAAGAAUGGCUGAAACUGUGCAGGCAGGGGUUGCAGUGUACAGGGUACGAAUGAAAUUUCGGAAGAAUCACCUAGCUCUGAAAUACUAGCAACUUUCUCUUGCUGACUGAUUUUUCAGAACUUUGCAGCGUGUCCAGAUUUUGGAAGAUUUAUUUGGGAAUGGAGCCAGGACAAGCUUCCAAACCACAGAAGUUCUUUAGUUUCUCAGUGGAAGGGCUGUUUUAAUGUCAAAUUGUGAAAAGCAAAAUGUUACCGGGAACCUCAGAAUUUUAAAUGGAAAAUGCUAGUUGGCGCUGUGUGAGUGCAGUCAGGAAUGGAAAAGGAAGAGGAUGUGGAGGAGCAGGACCACGUGCACACAGUGCCAAGCACAAGUGGAUGCUUCUUGUGAGAGCCAGCAUUCUGACUGCUUUAUACACCCAUGUGGCAAGCCAAGACUUCAGCCUCUAUCAUUGGCUCAGUAAGACAAAAAAGAGGAGCUGAAGUAGUGGAGUCAAGUUUUAAAUGAACUGAUGACUUUUAUGAAAGAAUACAAAUCAUUUUAAAGCCUUUUCUGGAGUUCAAAAAUAGGCCAAGCUAUUUGUACUGACACAGCUGAUGUGUUUUCUUCCCUAAGUGAAGGUUUAUAUGAAGACAUCUGUUAGCUGGACCUGAGCUUUUGCUCAUACAACCUGCCUGAAAUAAAAAAAAAAAAGAGGCGUAGGAAGAAGACA
rnacentral:lncRNA from 1 species